rnacentral:rRNA from 1 species
CACGUAGGGGACGAGCGUUGUCCGGAUUCAUUGGGCGUAAAGCGCGCGUAGGCGGCUCGGAAAGUCGGUCGUGAAAUGCCGGGGCUCAACCCCGGGACUGCGUCCGAUACUCCCGAGCUGGAGGCAGGUAGGGGAGAUCGGAAUUCCUGGUGUAGCGGUGAAAUGCGUAGAUAUCUGGAGGAACACCGGUGGCGAAGGCGGCAUCCUGGACCGGUAUUGACGCGUGAUGCGCGAAAGCCAGGGGAGCAAAGCGGGG